rnacentral:tRNA from 2 species
GAGCUCGUAGCUCAGUUGGUAGAGCAUCGCCCUUUUAAGGCGUGGGUCCUGGGUUCGAGCCCCAGCGAGCUCACCA